GUAGGUGGCAAGCGUUGUCCGGAAUUAUUGGGCGUAAAGCGCGCGCAGGUGGUUCUUUAAGUCUGAUGUGAAAGCCCCCGGCUCAACCGGGGAGGGUCAUUGGAAACUGGGGAACUUGAGUGCAGGAGAGGAAAGUGGAAUUCCACGUGUAGCGGUGAAAUGCGUAGAUAUGUGGAGGAACACCAGUGGCGAAGGCGACUUUCUGGCCUGUAACUGACACUGAGGCGCGAAAGCGUGGGGAGCAAACAGGGAUUAGAUACCCUGGUAGUCCACGCCGUAAACGAUGAGUGCUAAGUGUUGGGGGGGUUUCCCGCCCCUCAGUGCUGCAGCUAACGCAUUAAGCACUCCGCCUGGGGAUACGGUCGCGAGACUG
rnacentral:rRNA from 1 species